rnacentral:rRNA from 1 species
GUACGCUGUGGUUUACUGCGACGUAUAGUGGCGAACGGGUGAGUAAUGAAUAGGUAACGUACCCCGGGCACAGGGAUACCGCCGGGAGCUUCGGCUUCCUUUGCGAAAGUGGCGUUAAUACCUGAUGAUGUCUUCGGUCGGCAUCGGCUGGAGACCAAAGGAUGGGGACCUUCGGGCCUAUCGGUCUGGGAGCGGCCUAUUUCCUAUCAGCUUGUUGGUGGGGUAAAGGCCUACCAAGGCGACGACGGGUAGCGGGACUGAGAGGUUGGUCCGCCACAUCGGGACUGAGACACUGCCCGGACACCUACGGGUGGCUGCAGUAACGGAUAUUCCGCAAUGGGCGCAAGCCUGACGGAGCGACGCCGCGUGGAGGACGAAGUCCUUCGGGAUGUAAACUCCUUUUAGGGUUAAGAAAACAAGGGGUGCUAAUAUCACCCGGCGAUGAUCGAACCCAGAAAAAGCCUGGGCUAACUCCGUGCCAGCAGCCGCGGUAAUACGGAGCAGGCAAGCGUUGUUCGGAAUUACUGGGCUUAAAGCGCGUGUAGGCGGCCUGGCAAGUACCCUGUGAAAGCCCUCGGCUCAACCGAGGAAUUGCCGGGUAUACUGCUGGGCUUGAGGCGGGUAGGGGUGCCUGGAACUCUAGGUGGAGCGGUGAAAUGCGUAGAGAUCUAGAGGAACGCCUGUGGCGAAAGCGGGGCACUGGGCCCGACCUGACGCUGAGACGCGAAAGCGUAGGUAGCGAACGGGAUUAGAUACCCCGGUAGUCUACGCCGUAAACGAUGCGCACUAGGUUUGUAGGCUUCUGACAGUUUGCGGGCCGAAACAAAAGCAUUAAGUGCGCCGCCUGGGGAGUACGGCCGCAAGGCUAAAACUCAAAGGA